rnacentral:rRNA from 1 species
CGCGGCCUAUCAGCUUGUGGGGGGAGUGGCCUACCAAGGCGACGACGGGUAGCCGGCCUGAGAGGGUGACCGGCCACACUGGGACUGAGACACGGCCCAGACUCCUACGGGAGGCAGCAGUGGGGAAUAUUGCGCAAUGGGCGAAAGCCUGACGCAGCGACGCCGCGUGGGGGAUGACGGCCUUCGGGUUGUAAACCUCUUUCAGCAGGGACGAAGCCGCAAGGUGACGGUACCUGCAGAAGAAGCACCGGCCAACUACGUGCCAGCAGCCGCGGUAAUACGUAGGGUGCAAGCGUUGUCCGGAAUUAUUGGGCGUAAAGAGCUCGUAGGCGGUUCGUCGCGUCGGCUGUGAAAACCUGAGGCUCAACCUCAGGCCUGCAGUCGAUACGGGCGGACUUGAGUACUGCAGGGGAGACUGGAAUUCCUGGUGUAGCGGUGAAAUGCGCAGAUAUCAGGAGGAACACCGGUGGCGAAGGCGGGUCUCUGGGCAGUAACUGACGCUGAGGAGCGAAAGCGUGGGGAGCGAACAGGAUUAGAUACCCUGGUAGUCCACGCCGUAAACGUUGGGCGCUAGGUGUGGGGGCCAUUCCACGGUCUCCGUGCCGCAGCUAACGCAUUAAGCGCCCGCCUGGGGAGUACGG